rnacentral:tRNA from 1 species
CGUUCGGCCGGGGCGGCAGCGCCCCGGCCGUGCCGGCGCCGCGGCCCGGCCGCGCGGAGCCGGCGCCGGGCGCCACGGCGGCCGUACGG